UACGUAGGGUGCGAGCGUUAAUCGGAUUUACUGGGCGUAAAGCGUGCGCAGGUGGCCCGUUAAGACAGGUGUGAAAUCACUGGGCUCAACCUAGGAAUUGCGCUUGUGACUGGCGGGCUCGAGUACGGUAGAGGGGGGUGGAAUUCCUGGUGUAGCAGUGAAAUGCGUAGAGAUCAGGAGGAACACCGAUGGCGAAGGCAGCUCCCUGGGCCUGUACUGACGCUCAUGCACGAAAGCGUGGGGAGCAAACAGG
rnacentral:rRNA from 1 species